rnacentral:lncRNA from 1 species
AAGUCGAUAGGAAGUAAAACAAGAAAGUCCUAUCCUGAUAUCAGAGCAAAGUACAAGUCGAUAUACAACGAGUAUCCAAUCCGAGUCAAUAUACAAAGAGUAUACAAUCCAAGAUCUCAGCAGAAAGGAGAAGUAACACCACUAUAAUCUCAACUCGAAAGUAAAUAUACAUCAUGGGUAUACACAAAACGAACAGAUACAAUGGUGGUCUCUCUAUAUAUAUGGACAUCACCCUCGGCCGUAGCCCGAGUAGCAAGGUGAUCGACUAGCACGCUCCUAGCAAUGUUUAGCUAGACGCGACUCCCUUGCCACGAUCCCUAGCCUCUCCUGCAAAUGGCUCUGUAAAAACAACCACCAAAAGGGCGUGAGAACUAUUAACAAUAGUUCCUAGUGGGUAAGCCGCCAGCCUCGGCGAAUUACACCACUAGGCUCAUAAUGUAUUAAAUGGAAAUAAAAGCAGUAAUUUGCAUGAUAUAUUUUUAAUGCUAACAAUUAAUGAACAUGUAAGCAACAUGUAAUCAUAGUCUCAAUAGUGACGAAUCAACUGAUUAAUAGAAGCAUAGCAACUACUAUAAGCAUGAACAUAGGCAUAAAAAGUAACUACUGUACACUGUAACUGGUAAUCGUUCAUUACUGUUCAAUUUCUUUUAGCACUUUCCUUUCAUUCACAGGGACCUACCCAAGGUAGUCCAGCUUGCGCCGCGCCUAAUGGCCCCGUGGUAGUAUACACUCCCCACGGCAAUCCACUUCGGCACCCAAUCCCGCACGGGCGAGCAACUGUCGCGUAGGCCAACUCCGGAGUGCCGGCUUGUAGGGAGCUACCCUCACAAGCGUGUGCGAAUGAGCACGAUGGCAAGCAAGACAAAAUCCAUUAUCCAUAUGUUCACAAUUUUCAUAUUUCAUUGCAAAGUUCUGACCUCAUCCUCUGAUCGGAAUUUCAAUACACAAUUAGUAACAAGAGCUAAUAUCUACUAGAUUGUAACAUGUAAGAGUAAAGCUAAAUCACAUGGCAUAAUAUCUCUCCACAAUAUGCACUAUCAACAUAGCAUGACAUGUCAUAGUUUCUAUGUUAGAGUCAAGAGUGUCAUUUGUCUUCUUACUUUAAAAGUGCAUUCUACACUUGUUCAUAAGUCAUUCUAUAACUUAAUAUAAAUAUAAAGAUUUUCAUGGAUAAGUGUUCCUACUUUAUAGAGACUUCAUUCCGAAUAUGUUCAACAUAUAAUAACGAAUGUCAAGCCCCUUUAUUAAUCAUAUAAGCGCACAAUAAAUCCAUUUCUAUAAUACAUAUAGAACAUAAGGAGUUCACUUGCUCUGUUAGGUCCGACCCACCUAGUACUAGGCUCCAACUAUUCACAAGAAGUCC